AUUGAACGCUGGCGGCAGGCCUAACACAUGCAAGUCGAACGAGUGGCGGACGGGUGAGUAAUGUCUGGGAAACUGCCUGAUGGAGGGGGAGAACUACUGGAAACGGUAGCUAAUACCGCAUAUCAUCAGAUGUGCCCAGAUGGGAUUAGCUUGAUGGUGGGGUAACGGCUCACGAAGGCGACGAUCCCUAGCUGGUCUGAGAGGAUGACCAGUCACGCUAGAAGAGGUAGACGGUGCCGACUCCUACGGAGGGCAGCCGGGGGGAAUAUUGCACGAUGGUCUCAAGCCUGCUGCGGCAAUGCCGCGUGUAUUAAGAAGUCCUUCGGGUUGUAAAGUACUUUCAGCAGGGAGGCGUUACGCGCAGAAGGAGCACCGGCUAACUCCGUGCCAGCCGCCGCGGUAAUUC
rnacentral:rRNA from 1 species